ACUUGACAACAAACCAUUCAUCCAUUUGAAACAGCAGGAUGGUGAAUCUGAAGUGUUUUUUCCUUCUGUGAUCAGUGCAUAGCAGGGUGCAAUGUUUUGUGUAGGGUCUUCUGCCCAUCCCCGAGCCGGCGUCCUGAGGGAUGCGAUUAGUAGCUGUCGUGCGUGGUUGGCUCCAAGCCUGAUCUCUGGCUUGGGAGAUGUCUGUGCAGUGGAGGGCUUUAGUUUCGCCAGCAGAGCUCUGUGAAAGGUUUCCAUCCAAGGAGAUUGCUUCUGGUACUUUAAGGUCGGUCUUUGUCCUGGCUAAAAAGUUAAGACCUCAAAAAAAAAAUUAUAUAUAUAUAUACACAUGCAUGUUUUUGUAUGACCCUUUUUUUCUUUAAUUAGUUAAAUUCACCAGAGUGUUUCCUUGUGGUGCCUUUAACAAACCACUUCAGUAUUUCAGGAUGCCUGUUGGGGUUGCUGAGCUGCAGGCUCCAGGUUGCUGCACCGUUCAGAGCCGUGCUCUGGGCUGCUUUGCGCCGUGUUUUCGUGGUCUGGAUGCUGGAGAAAGGGGUCCAGGCUGGCUGCAGGACGCGUGCCAGAAGAACCGUGCUGGACAGGACGAAGGGUAUUCUGUCAGAAGUCAGCUUUGCUUUAGAGUGAAGGUUUUGAGGUUAAUUGAACAGAGCGCUUUGGAGAUGAGGGAUUUAAGGCCACAAGGCUUGAAGAUUUCACAAAAUACACCGAACACUGCCCGUGAUGAACGGCAUGUCCUCGCAGGCUGGAAAUGGCCUCACCCAACCCUCCCUGAAGCAUCUUCUCAGCCAGCCCUGGCGGUGGGAAGGAGGAGAAGAGAGGAGGAAGAAACGACGUUGGGCUCGUGGGCAUCUGAGUCCAUCACGAUGCUCUGAUGGGCGAGGAGAUUGGCUGGCACUUACUGGUGUUGUUCUGAGCCUUCCAUCUGACUUUCUCUGGGGGGAAACCAGGAAAAUCAGCCAAAGGGAAUUGAGAGUCGGCUGGAAUUAAAGCGCCUGCCCAUCCCUCGUGAGCUCCGUGUGUCUGCUCCGAGGUGUGAAAACCCUGCUGAAGGGCGAGCAUCAACUUGUAGUGGAUUUCUUAGAAGCAUCGUGGCUCUGUAGAGGCAAGCGUGAAUGAAGGGUAAGUCUUAGGGCCUGACUCUUCCUACGCAUGCACACAUACCUCAAAGCACUACUCAUGUUUUACAUGCAACCUUCAUCCAUCUUGUUUGUUUAGCUGAAAAGCCGUGAGGCGGUGGAGAAAUGGGUCUGUAAAGGGAAGCGUGUAGGUAACAAAUGAUGGUGUUUCCUUUCCCAAAAUAAUAAAUGCAUUUGUCGGUGAGAUGUACGAAUUCCU
rnacentral:lncRNA from 1 species